rnacentral:rRNA from 1 species
UACAGAGGGUGCGAGCGUUAAUCGGAAUUACUGGGCGUAAAGGGUGCGUAGGCGGUUUGAUGCGUCGGAUGUAAAAUCUGCGAGCUUAACUCGCAGAGGUCAUUGGAUACGAUCAGACUAGAGUAGAGGAGAGGAGAGUGGAAUUUCCGGAGUAGCGGUGAAAUGCGUAGAUACCGGAAGGAACACCAGUGGCGAAGGCGGCUCUCUGGACUCAUACUGACGCUGAGGCACGAAAGCGUGGGGAGCGAAC